GGGGAUUUAGCUUAGUCAGGAUAGAGCAAGGGUGAUCACAUUAACAAGACCUAAGGCGCAGGUUCGAAUCCUGCAAUCUCCACAA
rnacentral:tRNA from 1 species